AACGAACGCUGGCGGUAUGCUUAACACAUGCAAGUCGCACGAGAAAGUUUUCUUCGGAAAACGUGUAAAGUGGCGCACGGGUGCGUAACACGUAGAUAACCUACCUUGUUGACGGGCACAACCUCGCGAAAGCGGGGCUAAUUCCCGAUAAGCUCGUUGAGACGUAAAGUUUUAAUGAGGAAAGCGGCCCUCUGAUCUAAGGUCGCGCUACAGGAUGGAUCUGCGGCCCAUCAGCUAGUUGGUGAGGUAAUGGCUCACCAAGGCUAAGACGGGUAGCUGGUCUGAGAGGACGAUCAGCCACACUGGGACUGGAACACGGCCCAGACUCCUACGGGAGGCAGCAGUGGGGAAUAUUGCACAAUGGGGGAAACCCUGAUGCAGCAACGCCGCGUGAGUGAUGACGGUCUUCGGAUUGUAAAGCUCUGUCUUCAGGGACGAUAAUGACGGUACCUGAGGAGGAAGCCACGGCUAACUACGUGCCAGCAGCCGCAGUAA
rnacentral:rRNA from 1 species